GGGCCAGUAGCUCAGUGGUUAGAGCAGGGGACUCAUAAUCCCUUGGUCGUAGGUUCGAUCCCUACCUGGCCUACAA
rnacentral:tRNA from 1 species